AUUGAACGCUGGCGGCAGGCCUAACACAUGCAAGUCGAACGGUAACAGGAAGAAGCUUUGUUCUUUGCUGACGCGAGGGGCACGGGUGUGAGGUGUCUGUGAAACUCCCUGUUGGAGGGGGGGAACUACUGGAAACGGUAGCUAAAACACCAUAACGUCGCAACGGCAAAAAGCAGUACAUCUGGGCAUCUUGCCAUCGGAUGUGCCCAGAUGGGAUUAGCUAGUAGGUGGGGUAACGGCUCACCUAGGCGACGAUCCCUAGCUGGUCUGAGAGGAUGACCAGCCACACUGGAACUGAGACACGGUCCAGACUCCUACGGGAGGCAGCAGUGGGGAAUAUUGCACAAUGGGCGCAAGCCUGAUGCAGCCAUGCCGCGUGGAUGAAGAAGGCCUUCGGGUUGUAAAGUACUUUCGGCGGGGAAGAAGAGAGGAAAGUUAAUACCUUGGCUCAUUGACGUUACCCGCAGAAGAAGCACCGGCUAACUCCGUG
rnacentral:rRNA from 1 species